CGACGAGUGGCGCCGCGCCCGACAAGACACCGUCUGUUACGGCAGCGAGGACGGCGAAAUCGAACCAGAGCUGGAAGCCAUCCCAGAGUCUCCAAAGACAGCUUCAUCCCACCAAAGCUUCUGUGGGUCGUUGGUGGACCUGGAGGAGGUGUCGCCCAUGCAGUCGGUGCAGCCGGUCCGUGUCGGCUCCUUCUCCGGUCUCGGUGUGGUCGAGGUA